UACGUAGGGUGCAGGCGUUAAUCGGAAUUACUGGGCGUAAAGCGUGCGCAGGCGGUCUGCUAAGACAGGUGUGAAAUCCCCGGGCUUAACCUGGGAACUGCGCUUGUUACUGGCAGGCUGGAGUGUGGCAGAGGGGGGUGGAAUUCCACGUGUAGCAGUGAAAUGCGUAGAGAUGUGGAGGAACACCGAUGGCGAAGGCAGCCCCCUGGGCUAACACUGACGCUCAGGCGCGAAAGCCAGGGGAGCAAACGGG
rnacentral:rRNA from 1 species